rnacentral:misc_RNA from 1 species
GCGCCCCUGCCCCAUCGUAGUAUAUGAGCUCGCCUACACAAGGACCCCCGCUAAAAGCCAGAGCUCCCAGUCCCCGAGGCUUGAAGACGGGGACUCCCUUCUCCACCAACUCUGUCCUCGGGGGGUGGGGCCCCAGCCGAGAUCACAGCGCGACAGGAGUGGGGGUGGCCGCUGGAGGUCGAUGGAGUCCGCAAAGCCCUGCAAGACCUGGGGCUCCGAAUUGUGGAAAUAGGAGACGAGAACGCGACGCUGGAUGGCACUGACGUUCUCUUCACCGGCCGGGAGUUUUUCGUAGGCCUCUCCAAAUGGACCAAUCACCGAGGAGCUGAGAUCGUGGCGGACACGUUCCGGGACUUCGCCGUCUCCACUGUGCCAGUCUCGGGUCCCUCCCACCUGCGCGGUCUCUGCGGCAUGGGGGGACCUCGCACUGUUGUGGCAGGCAGCAGCGACGCUGCCCAAAAGGCUGUCCGGGCAAUGGCAGUGCUGACAGAUCACCCAUAUGCCUCCCUGACCCUCCCAGAUGACGCAGCUGCUGACUGUCUCUUUCUUCGUCCUGGGUUGCCUGGUGUGCCCCCUUUCCUCCUGCACCGUGGAGGUGGGGAUCUGCCCAACAGCCAGGAGGCACUGCAGAAGCUCUCUGAUGUCACCCUGGUACCUGUGUCCUGCUCAGAACUGGAGAAGGCUGGCGCCGGGCUCAGCUCCCUCUGCUUGGUGCUCAGCACACGCCCCCACAGCUGAGGGCCUGGCCUUGGGGUACUGCUGGCCAGGGGUAGGAUAGUAUAGGAAGUAGAAGGGGAAGGAGGGUUAGAUAGAGAAUGCUGAAUAGGCAGUAGUUGGGAGAGAGCCUCAAUAUUGGGGGAGGGGAGAGUGUAGGGAAAAGGAUCCACUGGGUGAAUCCUCCCUCUCAGAACCAAUAAAAUAGAAUUGACCUUUUAGA